CAUUUAUCUUUCCAUGGGUAGAAUUCCUAAAACUAGAAAACUUAGCAGAACUUAAAACUUUCUACCCUGGAAUGCACACUUCAGGAUGGCCCAAUUUAAAGAAGUUGGAAGUGUCUACCUGUGACAAACUACAAAUGUCCACUUCAGAAUACAAGGUUGUUUUACCCAAUUUGGAGGCCUUAGAACUGCAUGGAACCAAUACCGAAAAUAUCUCUCAACUUUUGAAAACAUCUUCUUGCUCCCGAAAGUUGACUCGUUUGGUAUUGGAGGAGUGU